rnacentral:sRNA from 1 species
ACGCCCCCACCCCUCUACAUACCCAAGAGGAGCCUCUCCACCGAGCCCUGCAUCCUGCUACCCUGGCAGCCAGUCCAGCUAGGCACUGGCCCAGUUCACUGUACCUGGACUUACCCACUGGCACCCUCCGGAUCCCCUUAUCAAAGCUGAUGGGGGUUGCUGGGGACCCCCCAGCCUUUUGCUAGAGCCUGCACGGCUGUGCGAGCUUGAAAAGAAACAUGAAGGUGGGCUGGCCAGGUGAGAGCUGCUGGCAGGUGGGCCUGGCUGUGGAGGAUAGCCCAGCUCUGGGAGCGCCGCGGGUGGGAGCCCUCCCUGACGUGGUGCCGGAGGGGACACUACUCAACAUGGUGUUGAGAAGGAUGCACCGGCCCCGAAGCUGCUCCUACCAGCUGCUGCUGGAGCACCAGCGUCCGAGCUGCAUCCAGGGGCUGCGAUGGACACCACUCACCAACAGUGAGGAGUCCCUGGAUUUCAGCGAGAGCCUGGAGCAGGCCUCCACAGAGCGGGUGCUCAGGGCUGGGAGGCAGCUGCAUCGGCAUCUGCUGGCCACCUGCCCAAACCUCAUCCGAGACCGGAAGUACCACCUUAGGCUCUAUCGGCAGUGCUGCUCUGGCCGGGAGCUGGUGGAUGGGAUCUUGGCCCUGGGACUUGGGGUCCAUUCCCGGAGCCAAGUUGUGGGAAUCUGCCAGGUGCUGCUGGAUGAAGGUGCCCUCUGCCAUGUGAAACACGACUGGGCCUUCCAGGACCGAGAUGCCCAAUUCUACCGAUUCCCUGGGCCCGAGCCCGAGCCCGUGGGAGCUCAUGAGAUGGAGGAGGAGUUGGCCGAAGCUGUAGCCCUGCUCUCCCAGCGGGGGCCUGACGCCCUGCUCACUGUGGCACUUCGAAAGCCCCCAGGUCAGCGCACGGAUGAAGAGCUGGACCUCAUCUUUGAGGAGUUGCUGCACAUCAAGGCUGUGGCCCACCUCUCCAACUCGGUGAAGCGAGAAUUAGCGGCUGUUCUGCUCUUUGAACCACACAGCAAGGCGGGGACCGUGUUGUUCAGCCAGGGGGACAAGGGCACUUCGUGGUACAUUAUCUGGAAGGGAUCUGUCAACGUGGUGACCCAUGGCAAGGGGCUGGUGACCACCCUGCAUGAGGGAGAUGACUUUGGACAGCUGGCUCUGGUGAAUGAUGCACCCCGGGCAGCCACCAUCAUCCUGCGAGAAGACAACUGUCAUUUCCUGCGUGUGGACAAGCAGGACUUCAACCGUAUCAUCAAGGAUGUGGAGGCAAAGACCAUGCGGCUGGAAGAACAUGGCAAAGUGGUGCUGGUGCUGGAGAGAGCCUCUCAGGGCGCCGGCCCUUCCCGACCCCCAACCCCAGGCAGGAACCGGUAACACACCUGCCAUGCUCCCUCUCCACACUGUCUCUCCUUUCAUUUCCCAAUCUUUGCUCCCUUCCCCUGUGUCAUAUCCCUGCCCUCUGGCCACCCGUGGAUGGAGAGGUAUUGAGGGACCAGGAUGUGCCUGCUGAGCCAGUCUCCUGCCCGCCCUAAGGUGGGACAGGGCUGGCUAAUCGAGAAAAAUGAUGUAAUUGAUUAUUGAUGUCUGCCCAGGUGUGGGAGUGGGGAGUAGUGGCACCAGUGCCAAAGACUGGCUGUUUCUGCUAGGUAUACAGUGAUGUCUGGCACCCCAGAGAAGAUCCUAGAGCUUCUGUUGGAGGCCAUGGGACCAGAUUCCAGUGCUCAUGACCCAACAGAGACAUUCCUCAGCGACUUCCUCCUGACCCACAGGGUCUUCAUGCCCAGCGCUCAACUCUGCGCUGCCCUUCUGCACCACUUCCAUGCGGAGCCUGCGGGUGGCAGCGAGCAGGAGCGCAGCACCUACGUCUGCAACAAGAGGCAGCAGAUCUUGCGGCUUGUCAGCCAGUGGGUGGCCCUGUAUGGCUCCAUGCUCCACACUGAUCCUGUGGCCACCAGCUUCCUCCAGAAACUCUCGGACCUGGUGGGCAGGGACACCCGACUCAGCAACCUGCUGAGGGAGCAGUGGCCAGAGAGGCGGCGAUACCACAGGUUGGAGAAUGGCUGUGGGAAUGCAUCUCCUCAGAUGAAGGCCCGGAACUUGCCUGUUUGGCUCCCCAACCAGGACGAGCCCCUUCCUGGCAGCAGCUGUGCCAUCCGAGUUGGGGAUAAAGUCCCCUAUGACAUCUGCCGGCCAGACCACUCAGCGUUGACCCUGCAGCUGCCUGUGACAGCCUCCGUUAGAGACGUGAUGGCGGCGUUGGCCCAGGAGGAUGGCUGGACCAAGGGGCAGGUGCUGGUGAAGGUCAAUUCUGCAGGUGAAGCCGUUGGCCUGCAGCCAGAUGCCCGUGGUGUGGCCACAUCUCUGGGGCUCAAUGAGCGGCUCUUUGUUGUCAACCCACAGGAAGUGCAUGAGCUGACGCCACACCCUGACCAGCUGGGGCCCACUGUGGGCUCUGCUGAGGGGCUGGACCUGGUGAGUGCCAAGGACCUGGCAGGCCAGCUGACGGACCACGACUGGAGCCUUUUCAACAGUAUCCACCAGCCUCAAGGAGCAGAAGAAUCUCAAUUCCUUCUUUGCCGUCAUGUUUGGCCUCAGCAACUCGGCCAUCAGCCGCCUAGCCCACACCUGGGAGAGGCUGCCUCACAAAGUCCGGAAGCUGUACUCCGCCCUGGAGAGGCUGCUGGAUCCCUCAUGGAACCACCGGGUGUACCGACUGGCCCUCGCCAAGCUCUCCCCUCCUGUCAUUCCCUUCAUGCCCCUUCUUCUCAAAGACAUGACCUUCAUUCAUGAGGGAAACCACACACUAGUGGAGAAUCUCAUCAACUUUGAGAAGAUGAGAAUGAUGGCCAGAGCCGCGCGGAUGCUGCACCAGUGCCGAAGCCACAACCCUGUGCCUCUCUCACCACUCAGAAGCCGAGUUUCCCACCUCCACGAGGACAGCCAGGUGGCGAGGAUUUCCACAUGCUCGGAGCAGUCCCUGAGCACCCGGAGUCCAGCCAGCACCUGGGCUUAUGUCCAGCAGCUGAAGGUCAUCGACAACCAGCGGGAACUCUCCCGCCUCUCCCGAGAGCUGGAGCCAUGAGGAAGGGCUGGGACUGGAGCUGGAGCAGGCACUUGUGGCCGGGAAAGCCAGGGCGUGCCGGGCCAAGAUACCCACAGGCUGGCCACAGCUGGGCAAGGCUCUCUGUGGAGUGGACUUGAGUCCCUGGAGCAGGCAGCGUGGAGGCAGCCGUCCCCUGUGAUGACUGGCGGCUAAGGAGGACCUCGGAGUGGCCCUGAGCAGGGAAUAAUGAAUGACCCAAGGCCAAGGAAGGGAGGACAGAGAGGCCCCAGGAGUGGGUGGAGAGUGUAGUGCGCUGGGACGUUGUGUGCAAUAGAGAGCUCUCCACACCA